UACAGAGGUCUCAAGCGUUGUUCGGAUUCAUUGGGCGUAAAGGGUGCGUAGGCGGCGCGGUAAGUCGGGUGUGAAAUCUUGGAGCUUAACUCCGAAACUGCAUUCGAUACUGCCGUGCUUGAGGACUGGAGAGGAGACUGGAAUUCAUGGUGUAGCAGUGAAAUGCGUAGAGAUCAUGAGGAAGACCAGUGGCGAAGGCGGGUCUCUGGACAGUUCCUGACACUAGACACGAAGGCCAGGGGGAGCAAACGGG
rnacentral:rRNA from 1 species